ensembl:lncRNA
AAAGAAACUCCAGAACCCAAAGCAAAUUUUCCUGCCCGGUACAAGGAGGACAUAUUUUCACUGACUGUUUCCAUGGAAAUAAAUCGGAGGCAUUACUUUUGGAGCAACUAUGCGGCCCAAGAUAAUUUGUCUUGACUCAGUGUGAUCCAGGCAAGCCAAAAGGUUGCACACCCAUGAAAUAAGCCAAGAAAGUACAUGGACUGCAAGAAAAUUCUUUUUGGUCUACUGACAUCCCUGUUUAAUUAAUAAGUGCUGUCACACAUUCAGCAAGCACGCAUAUCGCUCUUGGUCUUGGUAAGAGCCACUCUCUUUUCCAGUGCUGUGAGUCACUCAGUCUUCACAAGGUUUUGUCCUCUUCACCAGUCACAAAAAAAUAUUUGUUUGGAAUUUGGUAAACUGAAGUGGAAGUGUCCUCGCUGCUGAGAAUUUACACUGGGACCAGAAUGAUGCCUGCUCUUCCCUCACACAAGGAUGCAGAGCCUAUCGAAGGAAGGGAAUUACGAAAUGACAAGAUGCAAAGACAGAUUUAACAAGGCAGUUCCUUGCCAAUCAUCAUGUGCAUUAAAGAAGAUGGGACAGAAUGAAGAAUGAAAAUCCUAAGGGAAUCCUAAACAGAGAGACAUAAAUAGGAGUUUAAAGGGUGAAUUGCAUCAUUUGCCCUGCUUACAGGUACCUACUCGGGCAGCAAAAUGUUAUUGCCUGCUGAACCCAGCUUCUGCUUAAUUCUGCCAACUGGCAAAAUGUUUAUUAUCCCACGUUUAAUACAUGUCACUGCAGACCCGGACUGCUAAAUGGGUGCCUUCUUCUGGAUUGGACUCAAAGUAAGCACGGACCAAGGUACAAAAAUAAUCAAAACAAGUUGCUAUUGAAUAGGAUUUGCAAGUGAGGAUUCUUGCAAGCAGAAGGCUGAGGCUGAAAAGUGAAAGCUGCAGAGGCUUUCUGACUUUUUAAGAGAAAAACACUGCCUCAUCUUUUCUCCUGAUACACACUGGUACUCUCUCUGCUCCUCUGCACCUGCAGAAAUGGAUGGAUGCUCCAAGUCUGUUCUGUUUCUCUUGGAAGAACUGUGCUAGACAGCUCAGCAGUCUGCAGGUGCCAGCCAGAGCAUGUCUUGCCAAGCAAAGGAGACUGCUUUGUGCCUCUGAAGGAAGGCUCAGGGGCAGGUUUUGCACUGGAGAACUUAUCUACAACAUAGAGUUCUUCCUACGUAAGACAGACAAAUCAUAAGCCAUGCAUCAAAUACUGGUUCAGGGGAGCUCAACGAGUCCUCUCAGAUGAAUACAAAAUUCACCUAAAAAUGGAUUUCCAGAAGAACUGACAAGUUGGUUGGUGUGACACAUGGACUUUUUGCAGGUGGGUAAGGGGCAAGAAAGGACAACGAGAAAGGACACGGCCAAUUCUUAUGUCAGUGUUCUCAAACUGCAACCUUUCUGUUUUGUUUCUUUGCCUCCUAAAUGGCAUUUUUACCUCAUUAAAAUUAAAGUAGAUUUUAAUAUUAAAACAGCUGUUAAAUAAUGUGAAAACAGAAUAAGUUCACCCAGAUUAAAAAUGUAUAUAUGUAUCCUUUUUUUUUUUUUUUUUCUUUGCUCCAUUUCUCCAGAUUCUUCCAGGUCAACUCUAACAAAAUCUUUCCCCUACCUCUGGUCUGUCCAUUACUAGGCCAUGAUUUAUUUAGCUCUAAGCCUAUGCUUAAAGGUGCGUCUGAAGCUUUUUCCAACUGCUGAUAUCACAGCGCUGACACUAUGCUGUGACUCUCCUCUGUGACCCUCGUGCUUUCAAAUGUCCCCUGCCUCAGACUUCUAAAGAAUAAAGAAAUAGCUGUGGUUAGUUUGCUAGGUCAAAAGCAGCCCAGCUGAAAACAGACACUUACGUUCCCCCCUAGCUAUGCCUGCAUCUGAAAUCAGGGGAUUUUCUUUUCAAGUUUCGUCAGCUUUCCAACUCUUUCAAGAAAGAGAUCGAAAGGGGAAAGAAAGGAGAGAGGACUGUAAACCUUAAUGUGCAUACAGCUGUGACAGGGAGCAAAUGCAGGGAAAAUUCGCACUGCAGUUGGCGUGUCCUCCUGCAGCCCAGGCUGAAGCAACCCCUGUGGCUGCUGUGCUGUUGGCGGGUGUUCAGUGCAUCGCAGCUGAAGAUGCUCAUGUGAACCCAUGGGAAUCUGUUCUGCCAAGUUCCUCGUAGCUCUGCUCGGUUCGGUCUCAUUUUUAUUUAAUGCUCUUCUCUCCCCUACUGUGGUUUGGUGCGGCUCAUUUCUGCAGCUUCCAUGAAGAUGCAAGGGUGAGAAGUAUUGCGGAGUUAAGAGAAGAGAAAGUCUCUCCAUCUCUCUGUCGUCCUGCUCAGACCCGAGAUUUAGACAAGGAAGAAUGGAAGAUUCGCUCAAAGGCGGCCUGAGAGUCUGCUGAGAAAGGAUGAGCCACAGCAGAGGAGGUGAUUGCCACUCAAUCCUAGCUCUUGCCCCCAGAGAAGGCACAGUUUGAGAACUAUUGAAUUUCCUAAGUCCAGUGAAAUCCUGAAGUACAAGGCAGCAGUGUGUCUGUCAGGGGAUUUUUCAGAACAAAGAGGCCACAAGAAAUGGUUUACCCAGACUCUAAGAUGCUCCAGGGUCUGCAUUUUCACCUUACCUGUCUGUCACUGCUUGGAAAUGUGUGCAGCCGUUUAUUGCAAUAUUCAUUCACCACCCAUACAGCUGCUGAGGCAGAAUCAAUGCUGCACCGAGUUCUCAUUAACUUCUGGGUGAGAUGAGCAUGCUCCUGGCUCUGCUAUGAAAAUGGUUGUGAUUGUCCCCCCUCCACAGAUGUCCCUAUUUGUCACUGCAUUUGCAAACAUGACCCUGGAAGUCAGACUCCAUUAUAGCAACAAUCACCAGUCCAGAGGGUAAUUAACCAAAUAGUUGUGGUUUUUUUUUUCCUUCAGCACCAAACAAGCAAACAGCAACAAAAUGCAUCUCGGCAAGGUAAUUGAAAGAAACUCAUCACUUUUAAUGAAAGUUGGAGUGAUUGUAUUCUAAGCAAGUUAAUUAUAUCACUGUAUUAUUGCUGCCUGACAGAUAAAUUUAAUUUACAGUCAGUGGGGAGGUAACCCAAACUAGAAGCUCAUUGCAAAGAUUUCAUUGAUUUUUAAUGGGCUUUGGAUUGGAUCUUUGAGCAGCUUUGCCUUCAUGUUUCUAUAAUGCUGAUUCAUGUGAAAAUAGAGAGAAUCUAAUUCUACACUUAGUGCAAUUUUUUCAGGCAGCACUUCUUGAUGGUCAGCAGGGAUCACAUUAAUAAUGUAAAGUGAACUAGAUUCCCUUCUGACAAAAUAUUCCAAGUAAAAAAAAAAUAUCUAAAAUAUGACAAAGUAUUCCAAAUAUCCAACAUAUUGUUACUAGCAUUAUGUCUGCCCGAGGUGCAGUAAUCACUUGUUGAAACUGGUGUUCCGAUAAAAAGGGUGUUGUUUUCUCACUCCAAGCAUUACUAUUUUUAUAUUCUCAUUUUCAAAAUGCCAUUUUUUCAUUAUUUUUCCACAUUAAAGUCUUUAUAAAACCUGUCUCACACAAUAACUAAGAGUAGCAUCUUCACUUUAAGUGCUAUUUUUCCCAUUUGAAGAACCACUCUCUCCUUUGGUGUUACAAACGAAAACACUACCUUCAAAAAGGAAGUAAAUUGUCAUUCAUUUUCCGACUAUUUUUUAGCUUUAUUAAGGAUUUGUUCUACAAUUAAAGAAAGUAGGAAAAGUUUCACUUUAUCCUUUAUUCUCCUAAGGCAAAAAUACUACUUUAUACGAGGCAAGAUUGAAAGGGAACCUUUUUCUACCAAAAUCAAUUUGGAAAAAUGUUCCUUGUCUGCAGGGUAUUCGAUAGAGCUUUUUACUUCUUCUUCGUAAGACAUUGAACCAAAACUCUUCCCAACCGAAUGAUGGAUGCAAUGCGUUUACUGUCUUCAUAAUCCACAUGAUAGCAGCAAUCUAGGUGCUGUCUUGAGACAGUUAGAUCCAUCUGUGUGCUUCUGGGCAGAUUUUCAGUUCUGCAGCUGCUCAGUAAGACCUAAGCUACUUUCCAAUUAAAUCACUGCUGUUUAAUCUACAGUGUUUUUACAAUACUUGCUUUGAGUCAUAGAUGAAAUUUGUACAUCUAGAGACCAUCUCUUAUAAAAAUAUGUGAAGUAAGAAUGAACACCAGAGACAGAAUUAUCCGUGUAUGGGAUGGGAUUUACAGAAGAGAGCUUCCUUGUGAUGCUCAAACCAGCAAAAAUGCCUUUGAAAGUUUAUUGUGGCUUUCUGUAAUAUCCAGACAGGAUCCUAUUCCAGCUCUGCUCCUACUUUUUCAUGGCAAGUGUAAAAAGUAGAAAGUUUCUUGCUGUUGUUCAUGUACUUGCUGGGAGAGUAAAAAAAGUGAACUUCUGCAGCCUCUGCGCUAGCAGACAAUGGCUAGCAGGGAUAAAUGCCUGGCCUAAACUCCCUGGAAUUUUAAGUUCCAGCCUCAAAAGCAUCUGACUGAUCCUUCACAUGUUUACAGAAAGCAAUGUCAAAUAUCACACAGAUUAAAUGUUCGCUCCCUGAGAUGUGCAAGAUUUAAAGUUCUCUUUUCUGCUGCAGUAAAAAGCACUGCAGCACCUCACCAUUCCCCAUGAGGGUUUGUCUCGUUGUUUCUAAAUUGCCUUUUUAUCACACCUGCUCUGGUUCAGAGGGGUGCUGAGCAGGACUCUCUCCCUGCCCCAGAAGGGGCUGCACUGCAGUUGCUGGUAUUGAAGUGUUGAGCACACAGCUGCAAGGCAUAGCCUCUCGCUAGAAUUUCCAGUCCUUUUACACUUCAAUUUCAUGUUUUUGUUUUAUACUGAAGAGAUUCAGAGUUGAAUCCUCUUAUCAGCCCAAGGCUUUGGCUCAGAGACUGAAGAGUGUCUGCUCCCUGAUGUUAGAUCUGCUGUAAGGGAGGACUCAAGAGAAUAAACAUUUCAGGAAGGUGAGAAACUCAAAGGCAAACGUGUAAAGUGGCAGCCAGGAAAAUGUGAAAUGUUAGCAGGCAAGAGUAGCUCCAGCUCAGGGAAAGAAAAGCCCUAUUGUGACCAGGAAGGCUCAUCUGGGCUCUGUGACAGGAGGAGCUGGUAAGCUCUCAUUGUUCCUUAGCCUAUGGAUUCUGGAGUACUGGGCAAGUCAUUGGUGUCUUAGUUGUCAUUGAAUUCACCCUGACCUGGGUAAUUUCAUGGGAUUUCAACAUGUUUAUAGAAGUGCAAAAUAGCAUACACAUGAAGAAGAAGGAUGUAGGUUUGAUGACUGGUCUGGAAAAGAGACGAAUCAGGGGAGGGAGGUGUUGUAUGAUGGAAGACCACUAAAUCUUGUGUGGUGUGGGAAUGUCUUGCUUCUGGCAAAAAAAAUAAAUAAAACAAGAACUAAGAGGCAUCUAUAGUUUCUUAACAGAGGAAUGUUUAGAACAAAGAAAAGUAUAUACUUCACACAAUGAAGAGUUCUGAAUCUCCUUGCUGCAGGAUAUGUGUUAAGCAGGCAGUAGAAGUUUAUGGCUUCAAAAAGGAUCUGGACAAAUGCAUCAUAGAAACAUCCCUUGGGAGCUACGAUCAUCACUAACUCCACAAAUAAGCAAACUCAAAGCAACUGAUGGUUGAGAAAGCAGCCCUCUCCAGACUGGGAAAAUACAGUGUUGCAAUUUCUUUAUUUUACUCUUCCAUAGCAACAACAUCCCGUUUAGGGGGAAUGUUGGCCGGUUAUAUCCCAAGUUCACCCCACAUUGCAAGUUUGAAAUUCAAAGAUGGAUUUACUUCUAUAUAACAAGUCAUAAAACUAGGUCCUCAGAAAAUGUGGCCUUAAUUGAUAGUCAUAAGAUUAGUUUGCUCAAAUCCAAUUGAUCUGUUUUCAGUGAUGGUCAUUAUUUUCAGAUAAUAAAUACUGUAUCAGCAACUUUGGUAGCCUUUUAAUGUCUUUUCUUUUAGUACAAUGCUACAUGGAGAAUUGCUUAACGUACCAAAUUACAACAAAUUUAAGCUACCAAAAAAUGAAUUUAUAAGGCUGCUUAAUGUAUUCAGUGCAUCACCAUUUGCCAGGGAAAUAGCACACUGGAGGCAAAGAAAACAAGACAGUGUAUUUUUUUUAUAGUGGAAAUGCACUUUAUCAUUUGCAAGGAAAUUCAAUACAGAAAGGAGCCAACGUCUAACUCAAGGUUCGGUCUUGCUAUGAGAUUGCACAGGUGACCUCAGACAAGCAGAUAACUUGCCCUGAAACAAGAAUUAGUCAACUAACCUGACUCCCAGUUCAAGAACUGAUUCCAAGCCCAGUCCUCUACCAGCUUCCUUUGUAUAACAUUCAUCCUUUACAGACGAUAUUUGCAAUUUCUACUUACAGGAAUAAUGAAAAAAUAUGAAAAGUUGUCCCAGUCCAGGAGAACACAGUCAUAGAUCCAGAUUCACUGGGAGUCAGGGACAUGUUGCCAUAUUAUAAUACCUAAAAGGACUUUAAUGUAAUGCUUAGAAAUCAACUAUACUGUUAAGAGGUUCUACAGUGUACCUGCAGAGAUAAUAAGCACAGUGUCUUACACAGAAAUUAAUUAUGAAGCCAACCCCCUAACUAUUUUCUUGCAAAUUAAAAACUGCUUGUUUAGAUCACAGGAAAGUCUCCAGAUAAAAAUGUUCCACAAUAUCGGUGGCUCAGCAGAUUUCCAGCUUGGAUGCACAUUGCUAUUCAGCCAAAAUGACUGGGUAUUUUUUUUCCAUUUUGCCUGAGAAUGAUCCUGGCUCAUGUUGAACUCUGAAAAAAUACUUUGGGUAUAGAGGUCUUUAAAGGCUGUAAAAGGGCUCAUAACUGAGAUCCAGUAUAUCCCAAGUGUGAAGGACUAUAUCAUUAAACAGCCUUACAGAAGUUGCUUCUGCAUUUGCAGACAUAGUUAAAGUGAGACAUCCUCUUUUUUCCUUUUGUGGCCAUUGCACACCAGUGACUUCCCUGGGACUGCUCCCUGCCUGAAAGCUUUCCUGCCUCAAAAGGUCUUCAUCCCUCCCUGUGCCAUGUGCCAGUCACAAUUCCAUGGGCUUCAUAACUCUGUAAUAACAGAUGUAUGAAAUGAUUCAAUUUAAAAAGCAAUUACAGAGCGACUGUAACUAGGGAAUUAAGGUGGGAAAUCACUAUCUGACCUGCUGCCCAAGGAGCUGUAGCGUGGAAUCAGUGCGUGCACCAGAGACAGGCUUACUGCAGUAGAGUUAGCUACAACCCACAGUAGAAUGGGUGCACAGUUUGUGGAUAACCAACAAGAAGCAGGUGUCCAAAGGGGGAUGCAGAAAAAUCAUUCCACAGAUAGGAUUUUUGGUUACAAAUCAGUGUUUGUCUCUCAUGAACUUCAUUCCUGUCUGUCAUCGUCAGCUCUUCACCAUCAGCAUUUCAUUGUGGUGACGAUGAUGACAGACAGUGCAGCACAGAGCUGAUCAGGAAGGAAAUUCUAUUCCUAGUAAAUGAUAGCAAAAUCUCUGCUAAUAUGAAUUUCAAAGGGCCGGUGUUACACGCACUUCACUCAUAUUCACUCUGUUGCAAAUAAUUGGUACACGCUGAUAUGAGCUGAGUCAUUUCAUAUUACAUUACCUAAGGUAGCACCAGGGGUGGGAAAAGCAGCCUAACUCCAUGAUCCCUAAGAAUACAUAAUCCACUUAUUUACUGUGAAGGCUUAACCUCUAAGAUUCAGUCCUUUCUUAUGUUUUGAAAGCUAAUCAUUUUUUAGACUGUAAAUACACUGCUGCAGAGGCUUGAUCUGAUGUCUGUUGUUCACAUCUAUACGGAUGUUUGGAUACCUGAUGUCCAGCCUCAUGAGAUUAAGUACCUGUGUGGCCUGCUUCUACUGUAAUGCAAUAAAGAGCUUCAUAUUUAUUUUUAGCCCUGAUUGUGCUCUCAAAACUUAACUGGGCGGCCUUAGCCCAAGAGAAAAUGAGCUGCUUGUUUUCAAAGCCCUUUUCCUUUUGCUGUGUACUCUUGGGAAAUCUUCUGUCACUGAAAAUUAUCCACCCCUACAGACAAACUCUCCACAGGCAUUCACUCUCACUGACCUUUCUUGGCAUGUGGGAGCAAUUCCAGCCGUGCGUUAUGAGCAGCAGUUCUUCAUCUUUGAUUUGAAUUGUCCAAGGGGAUUUCUGCUUUUGUAACCCUCUUCCUGGUCUUCUUUUCUUUUGGCAAGGAGGAGAUUCAAGAAGGAAACAACAACCCAAGAGCAAGGAGGUUGUGAAUCAGCCAAACCUCUGGGAGACAUCAUGCACAGAGGAGGAGACACCAAGACUCCAUGCUCAGGAAAACUGAUAUACUUCUGUUAGUAGUCUUGGGUCUCAUUUGCAUUACCAUGCAUUACCAGUACUUAGAGAUAUGUUUAACUUUAAGGACAUGGGUGAUUGUGGUCUGAAAGCAGCAAUGUGGUUUUAUCUGCUUAUGUGCUCUAUAUUCUCAAAGGGAAACUGUUCCCACUUUUCAGAAACAAAACCUAAGGAUGUGACUGGGAAAAUGAGCCUGGGACAAAAAAAUCAGACCAACAGUCUGAAAAGAUAUAAAAUAGAAUAAAAUAUGUCACAGCCUAUUGUAAAAAAAAUCAUUUCUAACUAAGAAAAAGUGACUUGCAGGACUAAUUUGAGAAUAUAUUUGUAAUAAGCCAGCUAAGAUGAGCCAAGCUUUUUAAAUCAGUCCAUCCCUGCCUCCUUUGGCUGGUAGCAAGGAGAAAGAAACUUGGUGUGCAGCUGGAAGACUGAUGCCAAGCUAAUCGAAUGUGCGUGCAGAGGGAGCAGCAGAUGACAAGGACAGGAUUGGCAGGAUGUCGCCAGAUUGUUUGAUUAGCAAUGGGAUGGCUCAAGUGCUCCCUGUCCUACCAGGAACUUGGCACAGAUGCUGACACGUGACUCAGUCCCCAAGCAGUUGUUCUCUGCAGCACUGUUUGAAAAAGGGCUCUGCUUCUCCAAAAACAGGAAGGGUAUUAACAAAAACAAAAACAAGGAUGAGAAAGAAAGGCUAUGAGACUGUGUCUAUAAAUGUUAGAUUCUGGCUAUUCUUUCUGUUAAUACCACCCAAACUUCAGCUGAAAUGAAAUAUUUGACUUGGGAUAAAAAUCAGAUAGUCUGAAAUUUAACCCAGCAAAAGUAAUAUGAGGGAGCAUUGAUGAGUGGGUAUUUUCUUUCCCCUACAGUUUCGCCAUCCAUGUUAUUGCUUUCUUUCUGUGUGUCAGUUUAGACCAACCUGCCACAAAAAAAUAUAUUAUUUUUUUUCCUAGGAGACAAAUAUGGUGAGAAAGGCAGCAACACUAUCUUCUAACACCAAAGUUGCAAAUCUAUUCUGGUGAAGCUAAGUGAAAAAUGAAGCAAACUGAUUUCAGAGACAUAUACGUAGGCCUAUGGAGAAAGCCCCAAGCAUAAAAACUAGCUCUCAGCACGAAACAUGGGUAGCAAUUGCCUUUGAUUACUAACAGCAGGUUUUUCAGUCUAUGGACAAACGUGUAGAUUAUGAGCAAUUUUCUGAGGCAUCUAAAUCAGCAUAUUCAGAUAGAAACAAAUUUUUGAUGCUAUGGCAUCACAGCUACAGUCCAAAUUACAUUGCGCAGAUGUACAUGUAAAUAUCUUACUUGCACUAAAGGCAGCUCAGAAAAAUCAGGGAAUCUGACAUCUCCCCUGAGAUUUUUAAGAUAGUUCAAAUGAUAAAAUAAGUAAGUUCCUCAGAAACAAGAUGGGUGUUGGUGACAGUUUGUACAUUCAGCACAACAAAUAAUCAGCUGCUAUGAAUUUGGAUAACCCUGUUAAAGCCAACAGAACAGAAACAGUUUUUAUCAAGUUACAGCUAGUCCAGAGCACAUACAUGAGACUUGUACAUAACAAUACUGCAGAUAUAUGGAGAAACUGUAAUGCAGACAGCAGCUUUAUAGUGGGCUUUCAUAUGCCUAUAUACUUCUAAACUGUAUGUGUAACUACAUUCUUGUCAGUUCUUCAGCCUUUUCAGAUGGAUAUGUUACUUCUCUCUAACGUGUCAGUUUUCUGACUAACCUGUCAUAACAAUCUAUGACACCACUCUCUAACAGCUUACCACUGCUUUACAUGAAAUGUGAGGGUUUGUCUGCAGUCACACAUAGGAAUCAUAUUCCAAAAUAAGAGUGUGGGGGAGACGUCUGUAAGUAUAGAUGUAAGCGCAUACGUAUGUAUACGUAGACAGACACACAGAUCCAAAAUAUCUGCCUGUGAAUCAUUGGAAUUACAAUCACAGAGAAUGAAGCAGCACAAGAUGGGAUAUUUCUCCUGAGAUGGGAUAUUUCUCCUGAGCUGCACACUGUUUCUCAGCUUUGUGGAAAACUCCUUUUAUGCUGUGACCACAAAUGAUGCACCAUCAGUGGAGUGAUACCGUGUUGCUGAGAAAUAAACUGCUUGUUUGAAUGGACUUUGCAUUCGUUAUAGAAAAGGAACAACUCCAGUUUUAGAUAGAUUCAUUUAUUUGCUUUGCGCUGUUUCCAUGACUCAUAAUCCUUUUAAUAAAUCAAACUAAAGAACAUAACAUCAAAUCAGAGAAUCAUAGAAUCUUUAGAGUUGGAAGGAAUGCUUACAGGCCAAAGAGGUGCAAGGAGGUACAGGUUCUUGAUUUGAGUCCCUCUGGAACACUUGAAAACAUAAAAAUUGUUCAAAAUAUCAUCUUUCCAAAUUAAUAUGUGUUCUUGUUCUGUAUUGUGCACACCGACAUGACAUGAUUCCUGGAAUUUCCUGCUGAUAGAACAUUUUUCCAAAGAUGAGAAGACAUCCAAAACUUUACAUUAGCAUAGUUUAAAUUCACAAGUCCAUGGCCUCAGCCUACAGACAAUGAUGCCCCAGUCUCACUUGCAGCUAUUUCCAUUAGACGAGUGUGGCUGAUGGGUCAGAAUGGAAAAACUCAUGGGAAAAAAGACAACUUAAAAUCCAAAAGAUAAUGUUGGAGGUUUUAUCUGUGCUUCUGACAAUACACAGCUGUUAACUCUACUAAUCUGGGCUUUCUCUAAGGGCUGGCAGGGAAUUCAACAUAACCAAAUCUACUCUCUCUGAGGUGCGGGAACUUUCUGGAGCUUAUAAUGAAAGUCUGGAUGCUCAUGGAAAUCAAAGCUGCAUGCUCCUGCCCACAGAAGAGACAGGCAGCAUUGCCACUGCCCUGUGGCCCCAGAAAUAGAAUGGAAAUCUUUGAGGGACCUAAGAGAGAGGACUACAGCGAACACACAAUCUGUGUUUCCUGUAAACUUCUUCAUUUUCCCUCCAUCCUACUUUCAAAUGAAAACAGUCCCUACUGUUCUGAUGUAGGGGAGAAGUCUUUCCUGAUACAUAGCUUAACCUUAAAUGCUUAAAAGAGAAGGCAAACAGGUCCCAGAAAGGCUUAUCUGCAUCACAGAGGACACUAGUACCUCCUACCCCUCUCUUUCCAGUUGAAACUUAUCUUGGAUGUUUCAGAAAAAAAAGAUGAAGAGAAAGAGAAAAACAGCCAAGCAUUGUGUAAGGAGGUGUGAAACGUGUUUCUGGCCUUUACUUUCAUUCUGUGCUACCAUCUCAAAAUCUUUUCCUUGUUUCUGGGCAUCCUGUGUGACCCUUGUAAUUACAGUGAAUGUCUCUCAGGCAACAUUAACCCCUGCCCUGAUCCAUCUCUAACAAGGAUUGCAUUAAAAACUUCACUGUGUCUGCAGCUAUUUAAUCAUUCAUCACCUGGAAAGUGGUACUGCUCUACUGCUCUGUGACUGUGGCCAUUAGUGGUGACAAGCAAGGUCUUCCUGAAAUUAAGAAUAUGACAGUAUGAGCUGGCUUAGAUUCGGCCUUUUACAGAUACAUCCAAUAAUGAAAACUCCUUCACAUCGGUACUGUCCAAAGCCCGCUGACGUCAGUGGAGAGAUCUGAUCUCAGUGGGCUUUAAAUCAGACUCUAUAGCUAAGGCUUCCAAAGCAGCUGGGGGGAUUCAGGCACGUAUCUUUCAUUAAAGUGAGGGUAUAUUAAAGCAAAUGGAAGAUAUGUGUCUGAAAUCCCCUAGACUGCUUUGAAAAUCUAAAAUACUGUGCAAGCUGUACAGCUUUCUCUAUAAAAAUAGCUGCCAAAUCUAGCUUUGGUAAAGGCAAUAGAACUGCAUUAAAAGAUCCGCAGAAAGGCCUGGUCCCUCUGAUCCUUUAGGAAAACAGAGAGAAGGAUGGCCAGAGUGCUUUAUUUUCAGCUUUAAACCGUUCCCACGUCAAAGACAUUUGCUCGAGCAAUUUAUGGGAAUGGCAUAGUAGCCAAAAGAAAAGUAAUGCUACUCUUGUCUACGUAGAUGUCACACUUAUAUGGCUCAUCAAGCUGGGAUCAGGACUGCAACAUCUCUCGUGGACAUUAAGGAAUAUUUGAUGUGGGUUUCUCCAUGAGCCUAUGUGCAAGGCUGAUCUGGUUGCAAAUUCAUGUUGAUAAGGCUGAGCCCAAGACAGCACCACCAUCAUUCCAGCAGCUCCUCUCAGGAGAAGUCUUGGUACAGACCCUUCUCCUCCUGUCCAACUUUCAUGGGGACACAGCACUGUACCUCUCAGCCCCACGUAAGAACUCCCUCUGUUUUCCGAGAAGCAGUGAGGCAAGCCUUCUUUCCUAUAGCCCACAAUGACAAUCUACUUAUUAUUCAGACACAGCCUCGCCUAAUUACCUUGUUAUUUUGUGGCAGGCUAGAACAAGGUAGCACCAUUAAGUCAAGUGUCUUCAUUUUAGCCAUCCACUGCCUUCAUUCUUGAUUUAGAAGGCAGUGGCACAAGAGUGCUCUCAGUCACACACAUCCCAUACAGCUCAGGUUGUCGUGCCACUAGCUUACCUUGGUUGUGUAUCUGCUUAUAGACUUUUUUCUUUAUUUCUUGCAUUUUUGGACCACCAAGAACAAGUUACAUUCUGUUAGAGUGACAAAGAGUAAUUGUAUUUUACGUGUUAUUUCUUGAUGGUAGAGGUACUUCAAACCUCAGAUUGAUUCCAGAUGUCAAUUAUCAGAAAGUUUGAUGCAGUCAGCUCAGGGUGUCCAAUUCUGACCUGUCUCCUGCAAACACAAUCAAAACCUUAUUAUAAGACUCAGAGCUCAGACAAAUGAUAAGCCAAGUCCAGGGAUCUGCCCAUAGUUCAUAUUUUUAGUGCAGGAAGAAUUGACUCAAAGGGAAAAUUGAUGUACAAGAAGAUGUGAUAAAGCUGACGUCCAGAUAGCAUUUGCUCUGCUGAAAUUUUACAACCUGAGCAAGACAAUCUGUGAAAGAGGUAAUUGAGCAUUUGAAAAGCACCUGUUAAUGACGGGUAAGAUAACAACCCCGAGGAACCACCUGUCAGGGCAGGUGAUGAACUCUCCCUCUGAUCUGUUUCUUACUACAGUUUUCUCCAGUGAAACUGGUAGCACAUUCACAUGUCUUUCUAGAGAAAGUUCAUAAUAACAGAGGAUUUAAAUAAACAGAAGAUUGAUUUUAAUGGAAGGUGAAUCAUUUGUAUUUCUUUUUUCUUUUCUCGUGCAGCUGAAAUGUUUUAUCUAGCUUAGAUUAUGAGGAAUGUAAAUAAAUUUAUGUUGAAUGUUAAAUAAACAUUUGCUUUCUUUUUUCCAA